rnacentral:tRNA from 1 species
UCGGGGGUCGUCUAAUGGCAGGACAGGGGACUUUGGAUCCCUUAAUCCAGGUUCGAGUCCUGGCCCCCGAG